UACUUCUUCCCUUUCUUCUUUUGUUCCUACUACUCCUACAUCUUAUUCUCCCCCUGAUUCUCCCAUUAGGAAAAGUACUAGAGUUACUCACCCUCCUUCUCAUCUGGAAGAUUAUGUCUGCUCCUCUGUCCACUCUAAUUCUCCUCCCCUUCAUGUCAAUUCUAAGGUAUUUGUUACUGACUUGUACAUGUAUGAACCUCAAUUUUACUAGUAGGCUUCUACUAACCCUGCCUAACAAGAGGUCAUGCUACAAUAAU
rnacentral:lncRNA from 1 species